CCUACGGGAGGCAGCAGUGAGGAAUAUUGGUCAAUGGACGAGAGUCUGAACCAGCCAAGUAGCGUGAAGGAUGACUGCCCUAUGGGUUGUAAACUUCUUUUAUAUGGGAAUAAAAUGUUCCACGUGUGGGAUUUUGUAUGUACCAUAUGAAUAAGGAUCGGCUAACUCCGUGCCAGCAGCCGCGGUAAUACGGAGGAUCCGAGCGUUAUCCGGAUUUAUUGGGUUUAAAGGGAGCGUAGGUGGAUUGUUAAGUCAGUUGUGAAAGUUUGCGGCUCAACCGUAAAAUUGCAGUUGAAACUGGCAGUCUUGAGUACAGUAGAGGUGGGCGGAAUUCGUGGUGUAGCGGUGAAAUGCUUCGAUAUCACGAAGAACUCCGAUUGCGAAGGCAGUUCACUGGACUGCAACUGACACUGAGGCUCGAAAGUGUGGGUAUCAAACAGGAUUAGAUACCCCAGUAGUC
rnacentral:rRNA from 1 species